UUUUACUUGAAAGAAUUCGCGCUGAUUUUUUCCCAAAUUUCCCCCCUAAAACCCCUAACUUUAUCAUUUUUCUUCUUUCCUCUAGUACACGGGGCUUUGCACACGACGAACACCGUGAAACAUCGACGGAGACGCUCCACCAUUAAAUCCAUGUUUGGCAAACAUCGAGCUUCGAUAAUUUUCAAAUCAAGGUCGCCAUGCAAAAAUACAACAGGAUCCGAAGCAUCUUCCCCCAUUGAAUCAAAUCGAGAAAUAAAGAAAAAUUAUUCAAAGACGGUCAAUGAGAAAAAUGAAGAUGAUAAAUAGCAAUGUAAAAGGUAGGCAAGGUAGGUUAUAGCAGCUUGAAAAUAAAAUUGUUUUUGUUUUUAGUAAUUAAUUAGUGUUCAUAUUGGUGUUGGCAAUAACCGGAGAACAACAAAGUCACUGCCAUGUAGGGACGUUGUUUUCGAAACAUCAGAAUCCCAGUUUGUUUUCUCCGACUAAAGUCAACGUCCAUAACCGAAGGCUGUAACAGGGAGCGAAAUUCCAGAAGUUUACGGUUUUGUUUCUUUUUGGCUAAUGUGGUUCUGUUUAUCAUUCUUUGCCUUUGCCGGCUACUCUCUCAAUUCUUCUUUAUCAUUCUUGUUUUGGGUUUUCAUUUUUUUUCUAAAUGACUGACAGCUUCGAUGCGCCAUUUUUUUGAACUAUUCUUUUUGCAGCGAUUGGGUUUAAUGUAGAGGCUCUACAAUACAACAACAUCAAGUUUCAAGUUUCAAGUACGAGAGCCAUGAGUAGCUAGUUCUCUAUUUCCUUACUUGGAGAUUGUAGUUCUUAGAGGAAAGAAAGAUUGAAAAAGCUGUUUGAUAUUUGUUCAAUUUUGACAAUUUUGAUAAACUGGUUUUCUUAUGUUGUUAGAUUAGGCUCUGGCUUUUAAGGUGGGUCUCUUUUGUAUUAAUUUGUUAUCUAUUCCUCGUGCAAAAUUUAGUUUUUUGAAUUGUCAUCCAUUGUCUUGUGUAGUAAUACGGAUAGGGAUGGAACUUGUGAGAGUUUGUCUUGAAGAAAAGAAUGAUGAUAUUUCAUCAGUUCCACCAGCCUCUACUAGAGCCAUUCUAGUUGAAAAGGGAACUGGGUUGGCCAAUGAUGAAAGUUCAAAGAUUACAAGGUCAAUGUCUAUGAGGCGUCGACCUUGGAUAAACUAUGGUCAAUAUGAUAACAGUUCAGAAGAUGAACCCGAUCAUGGAAAGCUCAAUCAAGUUAGUUUCUUCUUUCCUUGUUAAGUCGUUUGUUUUAUCAUUGUAUAGCUGCAGCAUCUUAAAUGCAUGAAAUGACUUAGAAGUCCCUUAUAGUUAAGGUUUUUUUGGUAGGAUAACUUCAUGUUUAUUUUGUAUUGUAGAGUUGCGUAAUUCAGUGACUAUAAAGUAUAUGGACUAUGCUUUCUAGAAUGUAUAAUUGAUAUGAUGUUUUACUUUAUUAACCAUUGUCUUCAAAUGUUACUUCUGAAAAAUUUACAUGAAGUUGAACAAGAGAAUAGGACAAGCAAGCAAAGUUUUUGAAGUGGAACAAGUGUUGAAACAGGUAACUGCAAGAUGGCGUCUAGAAGAGGCAUGUCGGCCAGAUAUUGAGGAUGUACCUGUGUUCUACCCAACAGACGAGGAGUUUGAAGAU